UCCCUCGUAGCUCAGACGGUAAAGCGUCUGCCUACAAUGCAGGAGACCCAGGUUCGAUCCCUGGGUUGGGAA
rnacentral:tRNA from 1 species